rnacentral:rRNA from 1 species
UAACUACGUGCCAGCAGCCGCGGUAAUACGUAGGUGGCAAGCGUUGUCCGGAAUUACUGGGUGUAAAGGGAGCGUAGGCGGGAUGCCAAGUCAGCUGUGAAAACUAUGGGCUUAACCUGUAGACUGCAGUUGAAACUGGUAUUCUUGAGUGAAGUAGAGGUUGGCGGAAUUCCGAGUGUAGCGGUGAAAUGCGUAGAUAUUCGGAGGAACACCGGUGGCGAAGGCGGCCAACUGGGCUUUAACUGACGCUGAGGCUCGAAAGUGUGGGGAGCAAACAGGAUUAGAUACCCUGGUAGUCCACACUGUAAACGAUGAUAACUAGGUGUGGGGGGUCUGACCCCUUCCGUGCCGCAGCUAACGCAAUAAGUUAUCCACCUGGGGAGUACGACCGCAAGGUUGAAACUCAAAGGAAUUGACGGGGACCCGCACAAGCAGUGGAUUAUGUGGUUUAAUUCGAAGCAACGCGAAGAACCUUACCAGCACUUGACAUCCGACUAACGAAGUAGAGAUACAUUAGGUGCCCUUCGGGGAAAGUCGAGACAGGUGGUGCAUGGUUGUCGUCAGCUCGUGUCGUGAGAUGUUGGGUUAAGUCCCGCAACGAGCGCAACCCCUGCCAUUAGUUGCUACGCAAGAGCACUCUAAUGGGACCGCUACCGACAAGGUGGAGGAAGGUGGGGACGACGUCAAAUCAUCAUGCCCCUUAUGUGCUGGGCUACACACGUAAUACAAUGGCCAUCAACAAAGAGAAGCAAUACCGCGAGGUGGAGCAAAACUUCAAAAAUGGUCUCAGUUCGGACUGCAGGCUGCAACCCGCCUGCACGAAGUUGGAAUUGCUAGUAAUCGUGGAUCAGCAUGCCACGGUGAAUACGUUCCCGGGUCUUGUACACACCGCCCGUCACACCAUGGGAGUUGGUAACACCCGAAGUCAGUAGUCUAACCGCAAGGAGGACGCUGCCGAAGGUGGGAUUGACGACUGGGGUGAAGUCGUAACAAGGUAGCCGUAUCAGAAGGUGCGGCUG